UCCUGGCUUAGGAUGAACGCUGGCGGCGUGCAUAACACAUUCAAGUCGAACGAUGAAGGGACUUCGGUCCUGGAAUAGUGGCGGACGGGUGAGUAACGCGUGAGCAACCUGCCUUGCAUUGGGGGAUAACGUUUGGAAACGAACGCUAAUACCGCAUAACGUAUAAAUAUCGCAUGUUAGAUAUACCAAAGAUUUAUUGAUGCAAGAUGGGCUCGCGUCCGAUUAGAUAGUUGGUGAGGUAACGGCCCACCAAGUCGACGAUCGGUAGCCGGACUGAGAGGUUGAACGGCCACAUUGGAACUGAGAAACGGUCCAGACUCCUACGGGAGGCAGCAGUGGGGAAUAUUGGGCAAUGGGCGAAAGCCUGACCCAGCCGACGCCGCGUGAGGGAAGAAGAUCUUCGGAUUGUAAACCUCUUUCAGCAAGGAAGAAGAAAGUGACGGUACUUGCAGAAGAAGCCACGGCUAACUACGUGCCAGCAGCCGC
rnacentral:rRNA from 1 species